GACAGAGGGUGCGAACGUUGCUCGGAAUGACUGGGCGUAAAGCGCGUGCAGGCGGCUCUGCAAGUCCGAUGUGAAAGCCCAGGGCUCAACCCUGGAAGUGCAUUGGAAACUACGGAGCUCGAGCCCUGGAGAGGAGAGCGGAAUUCCCGGUGUAGAGGUGAAAUUCGUAGAUAUCGGGAGGAACACCAGUGGCGAAGGCGGCUCUCUGGACAGGUACUGACGCUGAGACGCGAAAGCGUGGGUAGCAAACAGG
rnacentral:rRNA from 1 species